AUUGAACGCUGGCGGCAGGCCUAACACAUGCAAGUCGAGCGGAGCGGCGGUCGGGUAAGUAAUGGCUAGGAAUCUGCCUGGUAGUGGGGGAUAACGUCCGGAAACGGGCGCUAAUACCGCCUAAUAUCAGAAGAGCCUAGGCCGGAUUAGCGAGUUGGUGGGGUAAAGGCCUACCCAGGCGACGAUCCGUAACUGGUCUGAGAGGGUGAACAGGCACACGGGACCUGAGACACGGUCCAGACUCCUACGGUAGGCAGCAGUGGGGAAUAUUGGACAAUGGGCGAAAGCCUGAUCCAGCCAUGCCGCGUGUGUGAAGAAGGCCUUCGGAUUGUAAAGCACUUUAAGUUGGGAGGCGUUACCAACAGAAUAAGCACCGGCUAACUUCGUGCCAGCCGCCGCGGUAAUAC
rnacentral:rRNA from 1 species